UACGGAGGGUGCGAGCGUUAUCCGGAUUCACUGGGUUUAAAGGGUGCGUAGGCGGCCCCGUAAGUCAGUGCUGAAAUAUCCCGGCUUAACCGGGAGGGUGGCAUUGAUACUGCGAGGCUUGAGUAAAGUUGAGGUAGGCGGAAUUGACGGUGUAGCGGAUGAAAUGCUUAGAGUAUCGUCAAGAACACCGAUAGUGUAGACAGCUUACUAGCUUAACUGACGCUGAGGCACGAAAGUGUGGGGAUCAAACAGG
rnacentral:rRNA from 1 species